rnacentral:rRNA from 1 species
GACGAACGCUGGCGGCGUGCUUAACACAUGCAAGUCGAACGGAAAGGCCCUGCUUUUGUGGGGUGCUCGAGUGGCGAACGGGUGAGUAACACGUGAGUAACCUGCCCUUGACUUUGGGAUAACUUCAGGAAACUGGGGCUAAUACCGGAUAGGAGCUCCUGCUGCAUGGUGGGGGUUGGAAAGUUUCGGCGGUUGGGGAUGUACUCGCGGCUUAUCAGCUUGUUGGUGGGGUAGUGGCUUACCAAGGCUUUGACGGGUAGCCGGCCUGAGAGGGUGACCGGCCACAUUGGGACUGAGAUACGGCCCAGACUCCUACGGGAGGCAGCAGUGGGGAAUAUUGCACAAUGGGCGGAAGCCUGAUGCAGCAACGCCGCGUGCGGGAUGACGGCCUUCGGGGUGUAAACCGAUUUCGCCUGUGACGAAGCGUGAGUGACGGUAAUGGGUAAAGAAGAACCGGCUAACUACGUG